GAUGAACGCUGGCGGCGUGCCUAAUACAUGCAAGUCGAGCGAACAGACGAGGAGCUUGCUCCUCUGACGUUAGCGGCGGACGGGUGAGUAACACGUGGAUAACCUACCUAUAAGACUGGGAUAACUUCGGGAAACCGGAGCUAAUACCGGAUAAUAUAUUGAACCGCAUGGUUCAAUAGUGAAAGACGGUUUUGCUGGCACUUAUAGAUGGAUCCGAGCCGCAUUAGCUAGUUGGUAAGGUAACGGCUUACCAAGGCAACGAUGCGUCGCCGACAGGAGAGGGUGAACGGCCACAUUCCGCCUGCGGGGCGCCCCAGACUCCUACCGCCGGCAGUGGUGGAGAAUCUUGCACACUCGGCCGGCGUGUGAUGCAGCGUUGCCGCGUGCGUAAUGCCGUCUUUCGGGUUAUAAACAAUUUUCGACUGUGCCGACCCGUCCGUGACGGUACUGGGUAAAAAAGCCCCGGCUAACUACGUG
rnacentral:rRNA from 1 species